CACGUAGGGUGCGAGCGUUGUCCGGAAUUAUUGGGCGUAAAGAGCUCGUAGGCGGUGUGUCGCGUCGGCCGUGAAAACCUGCAGCUUAACUGUGGGCUUGCGGUCGAUACGGGCAUCACUGGAGUUCGGCAGGGGAGACUGGAAUUCCUGGUGUAGCGGUGAAAUGCGCAGAUAUCAGGGGGAACACCGGUGGCGAAGGCGGGUCGCUGGGACGGUACUGACGCUGAGACGCGAAAGCGUGGGGAGCAAACAGG
rnacentral:rRNA from 1 species